GAUGAAGAACGCAGCGAAAUACGAUACUUGGUGUGAAUUGCAGAAUCCCGUGAACCAUCGAGUCUUUGAACGCAAGUUGCGCCCGAAGCCAUCAGGUUGAGGGCACGUCUGCCUGGGCGUCACAUAUCGUUGCCCAAUGCCUAUUGCAGUGCAAUAGGAAUUUCUAGGGCGAAUGAUGGCUUCCCGUGAGCGUUGUUGCCUCGCGGUUGGUUGAAAAUCGAGUCCUUGGUAGGGUGUGCCAUGGUAGAUGGUGGUCGAGUUAGAACGAUACCGAUCAUGUGCAUGCUCCCCAAAAUAUGGCCUCUAUGACCCACACGCGUCUUUUGACGCUCAUGACGAGACCUCAGGUCAGGCGGGGCUACCCGCUGAAUUUAAGCAUAUCAAUAAGCGGAGGA
rnacentral:misc_RNA from 1 species